CAUAGGUUAAUGAGGCGAACCGGGGGAACUGAAACAUCUAAGUACCCCGAGGAAAAGAAAUCAACCGAGAUUCCCCCAGUAGCGGCGAGCGAACGGGGAGCAGCCCAGAGCCUGAAUCAGUGUGUGUGUUAGUGGAAGCGUCUGGAAAGGCGCGCGAUACAGGGUGACAGCCCCGUACACAAAAAUGCACAUGCUGUGAGCUCGAUGAGUAGGGCGGGACACGUGGUAUCCUGUCUGAAUAUGGGGGGACCAUCCUCCAAGGCUAAAUACUCCUGACUGACCGAUAGUGAACCAGUACCGUGAGGGAAAGGCGAAAAGAACCCCGGCGAGGGGAGUGAAAAAGAACCUGAAACCGUGUACGUACAAGCAGUGGGAGCACAGAGCAAUCUGUGUGACUGCGUACCUUUUGUAUAAUGGGUCAGCGACUUAUAUUCUGUAGCAAGGUUAACCGAAUAGGGGAGCCGAAGGGAAACCGAGUCUUAACUGGGCGUUAAGUUGCAGGGUAUAGACCCGAAACCCGGUGAUCUAGCCAUGGGCAGGUUGAAGGUUGGGUAACACUAACUGGAGGACCGAACCGACUAAUGUUGAAAAAUUAGCGGAUGACUUGUGGCUGGGGGUGAAAGGCCAAUCAAACCGGGAGAUAGCUGGUUCUCCCCGAAAGCUAUUUAGGUAGCGCCUCGUGAAUUCAUCUCCGGGGGUAGAGCACUGUUUCGGCAAGGGGGUCAUCCCGACUUACCAACCCGAUGCAAACUGCGAAUACCGGAGAAUGUUAUCACGGGAGACACACGGCGGGUGCUAACGUCCGUCGUGAAGAGGGAAACAACCCAGACCGCCAGCUAAGGUCCCAAAGUCAUGGUUAAGUGGGAAACGAUGUGGGAAGGCCCAGACAGCCAGGAUGUUGGCUUAGAAGCAGCCAUCAUUUAAAGAAAGCGUAAUAGCUCACUGGUCGAGUCGGCCUGCGCGGAAGAUGUAACGGGGCUAAACCAUGCACCGAAGCUGCGGCAGCGACGCUUAUGCGUUGUUGGGUAGGGGAGCGUUCUGUAAGCCUGUGAAGGUGUACUGUGAGGUAUGCUGGAGGUAUCAGAAGUGCGAAUGCUGACAUAAGUAACGAUAAAGCGGGUGAAAAGCCCGCUCGCCGGAAGACCAAGGGUUCCUGUCCAACGUUAAUCGGGGCAGGGUGAGUCGACCCCUAAGGCGAGGCCGAAAGGCGUAGUCGAUGGGAAACAGGUUAAUAUUCCUGUACUUGGUGUUACUGCGAAGGGGGGACGGAGAAGGCUAUGUUGGCCGGGCGACGGUUGUCCCGGUUUAAGCGUGUAGGCUGGUUUUCCAGGCAAAUCCGGAAAAUCAAGGCUGAGGCGUGAUGACGAGGCACUACGGUGCUGAAGCAACAAAUGCCCUGCUUCCAGGAAAAGCCUCUAAGCAUCAGGUAACAUCAAAUCGUACCCCAAACCGACACAGGUGGUCAGGUAGAGAAUACCAAGGCGCUUGAGAGAACUCGGGUGAAGGAACUAGGCAAAAUGGUGCCGUAACUUCGGGAGAAGGCACGCUGAUAUGUAGGUGAAGCGACUUGCUCGUGGAGCUGAAAUCAGUCGAAGAUACCAGCUGGCUGCAACUGUUUAUUAAAAACACAGCACUGUGCAAACACGAAAGUGGACGUAUACGGUGUGACGCCUGCCCGGUGCCGGAAGGUUAAUUGAUGGGGUCAGCGCAAGCGAAGCUCUUGAUCGAAGCCCCGGUAAACGGCGGCCGUAACUAUAACGGUCCUAAGGUAGCGAAAUUCCUUGUCGGGUAAGUUCCGACCUGCACGAAUGGCGUAAUGAUGGCCAGGCUGUCUCCACCCGAGACUCAGUGAAAUUGAACUCGCUGUGAAGAUGCAGUGUACCCGCGGCAAGACGGAAAGACCCCGUGAACCUUUACUAUAGCUUGACACUGAACAUUGAGCCUUGAUGUGUAGGAUAGGUGGGAGGCUUUGAAGUGUGGACGCCAGUCUGCAUGGAGCCGACCUUGAAAUACCACCCUUUAAUGUUUGAUGUUCUAACGUUGACCCGUAAUCCGGGUUGCGGACAGUGUCUGGUGGGUAGUUUGACUGGGGCGGUCUCCUCCUAAAGAGUAACGGAGGAGCACGAAGGUUGGCUAAUCCUGGUCGGACAUCAGGAGGUUAGUGCAAUGGCAUAAGCCAGCUUGACUGCGAGCGUGACGGCGCGAGCAGGUGCGAAAGCAGGUCAUAGUGAUCCGGUGGUUCUGAAUGGAAGGGCCAUCGCUCAACGGAUAAAAGGUACUCCGGGGAUAACAGGCUGAUACCGCCCAAGAGUUCAUAUCGACGGCGGUGUUUGGCACCUCGAUGUCGGCUCAUCACAUCCUGGGGCUGAAGUAGGUCCCAAGGGUAUGGCUGUUCGCCAUUUAAAGUGGUACGCGAGCUGGGUUUAGAACGUCGUGAGACAGUUCGGUCCCUA
rnacentral:rRNA from 1 species